rnacentral:tRNA from 1 species
GAGGGCACAGCUCAGUGGUACAGCAUGUGCUUAGUGUGCACAAGGUCUUCGGUUCAAUCCCAAGUGUCCCCA